GUAAAAAAUGGGGUGUUAAUAUUUCAGAGUAAAGUUAUUUUAACCCAGAUAGAGUAUUUUCAACAUUUUUGAGAGUAAAGUUGCUCUAUCAGUGGAGUUAAAAGUGAGUGUAAAAAUCUGCAGAUACGCAGUGACAAUUUCAACUCUACAGCAGUGAUGAAUACCCGCCACUCUGCUUUGCUGAAGUUUGGCACGUACGUUGGUGGAGGAAGAUUGCGAAGGAGUAGCUAGGCCACAGAUAUUGCUAGAGGCAAAAUGCUGUUGCGUGUUCAGCUCGGGGAAGAGCAGAAAUACGUCAAGCUGUCUGAGCUGACAUUCAAUGCUUUCUUGAAAGAAGUGUGUCUAAAAUUCAACAUACCAGAAAGCAGAAAGCCAGACAUUAAGGUGUAUGACCAGUCUGACACAGAAGUUGACUCAGAUGUUUUUGAAGAAUUAGUAAAGGAGUCACCUGGAACUUUCAGAAUCAUGCUGGGCAAUGGACUUGAUACCUCUCAUUCAUCAUCAUGCUCGGGUACAUCUGAUGACACCAUCAUUCUGAAUUUCACUGUGUGUGACGAUGUUGAAGAAGUAGCGGCUGGCGAAGGAAGCCAG